AAAGAGAAUUAAACAUUACAAACAAGCCGAUUAAAACAUUUGAAAAAACAACAAUUAAACAUUAAAAAGACAAAGCAUUUGAAAAUCAAAUCAGACAUUAGAAAAGAAUAGCAAGUGAGAAAAGAGCAAAACUAAACAUUUACGAAGAAUCAAACUAAAGACAAAACAUUUGAAAAGACACCAGUUAUACUUUAGAAGAUCAAAUUAAACAGAAGAGAUGAUAAAACAAAAAGAGCAAAAACAGAUCAAGUUCUUUAAGUGUUUUCUAGUCUGAAAUGAAAACAUGAAGUUAUUUCUUCAAACAUUUCCUCUUUGUAUGUUCUUGGUUUGACUGUGGACAGAUUUACUAGGAACUCAUUUCAGAAAACUGCUUUCCAGAUAAAGUCUAGUAGUAGUUGAAGGCAUCGAUUAAACUAAUGUUACCUUCUGAUCUCCACAAACUUUACUGUUCAGUCAAGAGAAUCAAGGUUUGUUCAGGAUUUCUAAAGAACCCACAGGUGAAAGUCUGAGAAGAACUCAGAUCGAUGGUCUAAAUGUGAAAUCAAGACUCAUGGUAACAAUUUUUAAGGCUUCUGUUAACCACAAAGUUCAAACUAACAGAAAAAUACUGAGAAACUUUUAAAACUUCAGUCUUCAGACUGUCUGAAGGUUCAAACUAACACAGAACUGUUCAAGAACUUUAGGAUUUCAGUCCUCAGACUUUCGAAAGGUUCAAACUAACAGAAAACUACUCAGGAACUUAGAAGACAUCAGUCCUUGGACUGUCUGAAAAUUCAAUCUAACAGAGAUCUACUGUGGGACUUAGAAAAUUUCAGCUCUCAGACUGUGUGAAAGCUCAGGUCUUGAGGACUCGGGAGGUCUGGAGGCUUUGGAAAGUCUUGGAACUGAGGGUUCAACCCUCUAGCACAAAGGCUGAAGUCCAACCUCCUGAGAAAAAUGGUCAAGACGAGACUCGAGUUAAAAAAAAAAACUCGAAAACAACAAAAAAUUGAUGAUAUUCUGAGUGAGUAGCUCAAGGGGUAAGAAGAGAGACUACCAAGUAGUAGGAAGUAGGUUCAAGACUCACCAUUGGCAUUUUUCUUUCUUUGUCUAAGUUUUUCAAAAAACUUAAGAAGGGUCUGGUCUUGAACCAGCAACCUGCAGCUCCAUAGACAUACCCUUAACUCACUCAGCUACAGAUCAGAUAAAAAAAAAAAAUUCAUCGUCCCUUUGUCAUCGUAGUUUCCAAGUGACCACAUGGGUGGAGCCAAGGCGGAGUCUGGGUGGAGUCAAGGAGGAGAGUAGGAGGGGAGGAUUACCACAGACCUGACCAUUAACACCCACCUGAGGGAGACGCUGCCUGAGAUCUCAAGGCUGCUUGGUCAUGGUCUUUCUGGCCCUGCUGGAGAACGCGUUCAUCAACUAUGUCUUCUUCUGAAGAGGCCCUCAGAUGCUGCAAUCUCUGACCUUAAGGAGGAACUGCUACUUUCACUCUGUAACGAGACGGCGGUUAUUUUAAAGAUCCAGCUCCUGGUGGCUUUGAUUUGAAAUUUAACAUCCAUCAAAACAGAACUGCAGAAAGUUAAAUCUGAGCUGUCGGUCAGUAUUUCAAACAUCAAGUCCGACUCGGGUGUCCUAAAGCACGCUGUGGGUGAAACGGAAAAUUCACUCUCCACAUCGUCACACUCCAAAGCAGAGCACCUGUCUGCUGAACUUUUAAAAGUGGACUAUAAAGGUGAAGAAUAUGAGCAGCAGAACAGAUGUGAUCAGAAAGAAGUAAUUUUCUUUUUUUUUUUCUUUCUGGUUGACUUGAUUCUGUCAGAUGCAGAUGUCGGAGCUGAUUCUUGAUCUUUCAGGAGAAAAAGCUGCUUUUCCUUUUCCUGUGGCACUGAAACAUCUUUUAGCACAUGGUUUUAAACCUCUGAACUCAAGGCUUUUUUCUGCACAUUUUUGCUCUUGUCACAUUUUUACUCACUCUGGCUUCAUUUGUCACUGCGAUGUAAAAUCCUGCACCUCUAUGGAAACAAAACAAUCAUGACUAGAAUAAGAGAACUUUGAAAAUGUCUUUUGUGCUGCAUGACAAAAUUAUAAUGCUGACAAAUACUAAAAAUAAAUAAAUAAAGUUGAAUUUCUUUGAAUAUUUGUUUCACAAAAAAUGAAGGAAAGUAUCUGCAGGUGUAGCCAAUAGCAGCAAAAUGGAAGCUUCAUAUUCUCUACAUAUUUACCUGUUGGACUUUUUGCAACGUCUACAAACUAGGAGUGUUUCACUCUACUCUGCACAUCAACUCUGAAAAGAGUUGCUCAGUGUAUCUUCCAACAAGUUGCUGACAAGUUGCUCCACAGCAGACUUUUAUUGAGCCAUGCUGCAUUUUUAUUAUUGAUCAAGCAUGUUUUAUUUUCCUCUCAAUCUCUCUUGUUGUCUCCUCUCAGCUCUAUGUAAACACAACUUGCCAUUCAGCAAAGUAGAUGCUGAAUUUUUGUUGGUUGCCGCUGAGUCAGUCUCAGCUUCUCAGUUUCUCUGAGCGACACAGAAUACAUUUAUUUUUGGAGAAUUUUUUUUUUUUAAAUGAGACUCGUAGAAUGUCAAUGAAAGUGAUUUUGAUGGAGAAUCACAAUUUUGAGCUCAGAUUUGGAUAUUUUUCUCGAGGUAAGCUCACCUCGCGCUGUCAGAAAGUUACGGAUCUGAACAUUCUUUCUGUUUUUUACUGCUUCUCUCUCUGAUAAAUGCCAUCAUUCUGGCAGUGUUUUAAAGAUAGCACGUCUUUCAGCCUUGCCCUUAUGUUGUGGAAUUCAGGGGGUUAAUUCAAUCUGUUGUUAAUACCCGCAAGAUUGGUGCUGCUUUAAUACAGGAGCAGUCAUUAGGAAUGGCCAACACAUUUGCAACAUGGGUGUCUAGUUAUGCUGCUAAUUACAAGAAGAUACCAGAAAAUCCCAUUCAAGUCUUCUGAGUGACAGUGGCACAUACCGUAAUCUGCAACUGAAAUAAGAACAUGAAAGCCCGUUGGGAGGGUGACAUAUUUUGAGGGACAGAAGGCCUCUUAAAUGCAUAAUUUCACUAAUAUAUCCGAGGUAAUAAACAUUUCAAAUCCUCUCCCUGCUCGUUUUGGCUCCAAACAGGGUUCCUAGCAAACUGAACGUAUCAAUAAUGUAUACAGCGGUAAAUUAAACGAACUGUCGGAUGUUAAUUGCGCCUCCUUCAGGAUUCCCAGCAGUGACUGGUUCAGUGAUGCCAAAUGCGAGGAUGGCUUGUAAAUAAAAAUCUCACAUCACUGCAUGCUGUAAAUAAGUAGCUUAUCCACUGUGAAAUACAAACAGUUUACAUGUUGAUAGCAGGCACAAAUCUAUUCAGUUAACACAUACUUCACAGUACCUGUCACUUACUCUUUUGUUCAGACUCUAACAACAUAAACACUCGUUCACUUUCAUAAUGCAGAUGCUCGGCUGGCAUUUAUGUAUUCUUUUUAUUUUUCCAUGAGGGAAAAAAUAUUAGUUUUCCAUUUCUCUCCUACACUGACUGCUAUGGUGUUGGUUAUGUAUUGGUAUGCAUGAAAUUCCUUAAGUCUACAGUUGUUUAGCCUUCAAUUCUUGCUCGACUGAUUUUAUUGGCUUCUUGCUUUCUGUUUCCUGUGUCUAUUGCUUUUCACAUUUUUGAGUUUCAUUAGAUUCUAUAUCCUUUAGCCUACUCGACUGAAACAUAUUACUCGUCGCAGCUCCUUGAAUCCGCACAGAUCAGACACUGUAUCCUACAUUUCAUAUAAAAUGAAGUUCAGUUUUUGUGCAGAAAAAUCCGGAUCUGAGUUCUCACAGCGUGCAUAGCAUUAGCUUUCUAAGAGGGAACCUCCUGCACCACUAUUGUAGCAGGAAAACUCAAAUACAAAAAGUUCUCCUCUACAAUCCCCUGGUGUUUUCAAAUCCUGCGGCACAAUGCAACUCGUCACUGAUCAAUUUUUAAGUGUCUGUGUGUGGCCAAACGCGAGGCCAGUAUGGUGCAUCUACUAAUUGCCUCGAGAGAGCGCGAGUCAUGAUAGGAAGGGUGUGUGUUAAAGGACUAACAUCGAGGAGGGAUGCCAGCCGUGUGAUGUAGCUCUUCAAUUCACAGUUCAAAAGACAGCAAAUGAUGUCAAUGACUGAGUUCCUAUCUCUGGAGAGCCACUAGAUGCACAAGGCAUUCAAGUCUGGUCUUGACACUCUGUACUUGCUGGCAGCACCAUCUAUUCAGUUUCUUCAAAGUACAGAAUUGGCAGCAGAAAUGUUGUUUGCUUAUUUGUGGAACUGUGUCAAGUUGUUUUAAAUACCAUUUCAGCGGAGAUUCGGCUAUAACGGAUGACACAGCUUAGGUGGGCUAUUUUGAGCAAUAUCUCAUCCUGUGAAAUUUAAUGGCUUCCCCCAGUAGGAGCCUGCAACCUGCCUGCUGUCCAUUUCAGAACUGCUUCUUGUCACGCUGAGUGACUGUACCAUGAGUAACUGUAGUGCUGUCCUCUUUAAUCUUGCUGAAGGUUUGAAAUAAACAGGGCUAAAUGAGCCUGUGUUUUAUUUUUCCACAUCCGCUUUGAAUUUCCAUUGUGCUUUGUGGUUGUUCACUUGGAGGUGUGAAGCAAAUGCUCUUAAGAUAUGACUUAUGACAUUCCUUGAGUCCCACCUCGCAACUAGAUAGCCUUCAUUUUUACAAGCCAGUAAGAAUUUCACUGAGCUGCUGCAUCACAGCUGAGGAACCAAUAGUCACCCAGCUUAAAUUUUGCAUAAUCCUGCCCCAUCGCUGCUUAUUGCAUGCAAAGAGAGCCACUCCCAAAGAACAGCUGCCUCAAAGUCCGACAGGUUUACUUUCAAACGCUGCAUCUGCUAAUUCUAAAAUGUCUUCGCCGUUAGCAAAGGAUGACAAAUGUUCUGCUGUUGGCUGCAAGACUGAACCCAACAAUCUUCAUGCACUUCCAGCAUCUAGGGAAUUAAUCCUGGGGAUAAAUUUUGUUGUUGAUAGCAGUUUUACAUCAGCAAUAGAAAAAGCAGUGUUAGCAUGCUGUGUGGCUACUGUGGAGAAUGUUACCAGUAGCUACCUCACCAGAUGAACGAUGUGAGUAUAAGCUCCACGGCUAAUUUAAUUCAACUUUGUCAUUGCUUUCUCUGUGUUUUACUGAUUUCUUUACUACAGCAAACAGCAACAUCCAAGCAGCAACCUACCACAUUGAAAAUUUUACGUUCUGCAGAGACUUGCAGUAGCUAGUUCAGCUAUUUUUUUGUGAUAGAUUAUCCAUAUUAAUCACAGUGCAUGUCACCCUACAUGCAAAUGCACAACCAAAACAAUUCCUUCCAUCACUGUUUUGAGGGAAAUAACUACAUCCUUCGCUUAGACCCAUCCACAGCGACUGGCUUAAAGAAAUGCACACAAGCCACAGCAGUUUUUUGCCCUAUAGCAGAAUGAGAUUGUGCUGCAAACAGACCAUUAUGUACUCCAGAGUGGGCAGACAAAGCCCGACUAUGGCUUUUAUCAUUACAUUUGAUUGUAAGCCCACAGGCCUGUGAUAGACUGGCGACCUGUCCAAGGUGUCCCCUGUUUUCACCCUGAGUCGGUUGGAAUAGACUCCAGCCCCCCCACCACCCAACAGAGGAUUAAGUAGUGUGUAGGUAGUGGUAGGAUGGAUGCCUGCUGGUCAGAACUCCAUGGAAACUGUAACGCUGAGGGACAAUCAGAAAUGAAGAAACUCUAAUACAUGAUUGAAACCAUUAAAAAAAAAAACGCUGGGUAGGUCACAGCUUCAUGUUGCCACAUUGGCCAGUAAUUGCAUCUUUUUGCUUCUCUCCUGCUCACUGUGCUUACAUAUACUGUAUUUUAUUACUGCCAAAUUUCCAAUAAAGCUGAUCUCAUUUCUA